AGUACAGGGACUAAUAGCGAAAUUUAACCUAUAUAUUAUAAAGGCUAGGGUUAAUGGCAGAAGAAAGCACAAUUCUCCGUUUCCUUUCCUUUCUUUUUCGUUUGAAUUUCUCUGUUUCUGAUUUCCAUUGGUAAAACUAGCAAUUGAAGUUGUUGUUUUCUUCUUAAUCGUAAAAUUGAAAAAAACAGAAAAGAAGGAAAUCGCAGAAGAUUUGAGGUAGGGUUUUGAAAAGAAAUCCCUAAAUGUACAACGGAAUCGGACUGACCACCCCUAGGGGGUCAGGCACCAAUGGUUACAGAGUAACAAAUUCUUUGUAAAGCCCAAGACGAAUCGGUUAACCGAUUUCACCAAGCCUUUCGAGGCAGAUCAAGGCACCGCAGGUCUCACCACCAGGAAACCUGACAAGGAAAUCCUCGAGCAUGAUCGCAAGCGUCAGAUUGAGCUUAAGCUCGUGAUUUUGGAAGAUAAACUCGCUGAACAAGGUUACACUGAAUCUGAGAUCGCUGAUAAGCUUGUUGAAGCUAGGAAGGCUCUCGAAGAUGCUCAACAAGAGAAAGACGAAGAAGAAGGAGAAGUUAUACCAAUCCCUACUCGCCAGCAAAAGGUAUCGGAUACACAGACCCACCAAAUUGCUGCAAGGAAGGAGAAGCAGAUGGAGACAUUUAGGGCUGCUCUCGGUAUUGGAGCUUCUGAAUCUGGGCUUCCUCCUCUGCCAAAUCCUCGAAAGAACAUCGAUUUUGAUCAGUGGAGACAAGAAACAUGAGGUAACCAUUGGUGUAGGUACUCUAUGAGCCUGAGCCAUAUGACACUUUUCUAAAAGUUCCAUGAUAUAGAUACAACCUUUGAUCAGUGCAGACAAGAAA